rnacentral:rRNA from 1 species
UACGAAGGAUCCAAGCGUUAUCCGGAUUUAUUGGGUUUAAAGGGUGCGUAGGCGGUUUUGUAAGUCAGUGGUGAAAUCUUCGGGCUUAACCCGGAAAUUGCCAUUGAUACUGCAGAACUUGAGUACAUUUGAAGUGGGCGGAAUAUGACAUGUAGUGGUGAAAUACUUAGAUAUGUCAUAGAACACCGAUUGCGAAGGCAGCUCACUAAACUGUAACUGACGCUGAUGCACGAAAGCGUGGGGAUCAAACAG